GUCCACAGGAAGGUCAAAAUUGAUGACCACAGACACUUGUUCAACAUCAAUACCUGUACAAAGGGAGGCAGGCAGGAGACAAGGGGAGGGAGGUACCAUCAGCCACACAUACCCAGUGGCACUGGAGACAUGGCUGGGACAGGUCACAUGUGGCCACUGAAGAGCACACACUAAAGAGGGCUGUAGCCGAGGCCGAAGGACACAACUCUACGAGUCAGGGAGCAUCUGGAAACCUUCCCACCACAGCCAGACUGCUGGCUUCCCUUCCACCCAAAGGAAUCAAUCAGCCCCUCCUAGGAAGGAACGGCCCCCAACCCUCCGACCUCCAGGAGACCAUGAGCACAGGAACUUUUCUUGCUCACAGGCCUGGGCCCCCCUGCCUGGUGAACGGGGCCAGUCUCUGCUCACCACGGGCACACACGUUGGUGGUCACCAGAACCUUCUCUUUGCCUUCUCUGAAGCGCUCGAUCACAGCAGCCCUCUGCUCCACCAUCAUCUCUCCACUCAGCAGGGCCACCUGGUGGCCCUCUUUGGAGAGCUCUGCCGCCAGCCAGCUAGCUGUUUUGCGGGUCUGGAAAAACAGAAAUAUUAGUACCUAAAGACUGUUGUGGAUCUAGACUGUAACCACCUAAACAUUAAAUACACUAAAACUGCCAACCUGACUACA
rnacentral:lncRNA from 1 species